GGGCCGGUAGCUCAGCCUGGUAGAGCAUCCGGCUUUUAACCGGAUGGUCGCGAGUUCGAAUCUCGUCCGGCCCA
rnacentral:tRNA from 1 species